rnacentral:rRNA from 1 species
AUGGGCAAGCACGUUGCAUCGCCUGGAAGGGUUGUGCUUGUCAAGUCGGUUGUAACGGCGAUUGCUAUAUAUUACUUGACGGUGCUAAACCUCCCCGUGGAGGUACUGAAAAAGAUUGACUCCCUGCGGCGUGCAUAUCUCUGGGCUGGUUGUGACAAGGUUUCUGGUGGAAAAUGCAAAAUCAACUGGGAGCAAGUGUGCAAAUCUAAACUGCAUUGUGGCCUAGGUAUUCUCAACUUGGAAAAAUUUGCUACUACUCUUCGCAUCCGGUGGUUGUGGGGAGCUUGGACGGAUCCAAGCAAGCCUUGGGUAAACUUGGGGAACCCGUGUGAUGACAAAGAUAAAGACAUAUUUGCUGCUGCCACCAAGGUUCUGAUUGGAGAUGGGAUGAGGGCCUUGUUUUGGGAGUCUGCUUGGCUGAACGGUAUGAGACCCAAAGACAUCGCGCCAAAUAUUUUUGCGAUCUCUGCAAGAAAAAACUGCACUGUCUAG